AAGCGAAUAGUGAAAUCUGGUGGCUCAACCAUCAACACAUUGUUCGAACUGCUGGUCUCGAGAAUGGUAGAGGUAGCUGGAAUUUCUUGUGUAGGAGUGAAAUCCGUAGAUAUAAGAAGGAACACCAAUGGCGUAGGCAGGCUACUGGACCAUUUCUGACGCUGAGGCACGAAAGCGUGGGGAGCGAACCGGAUUAGAUACCCGGGUAGUCCACGCCGUAAACGAUGGAUACUA
rnacentral:rRNA from 1 species